UGAGAAUCUCCAUUUAAUAGUUCAAAACAUGCCACACACAGUUAAUCCUCAGAAGCGCCUCUAUCUCUGUCCAUCUUACUGGUUCUACACUUUGACUGAUAGUCAGAUUUUUAUUGUUUGUAGCCAAUACCUGUUACCACGUAAUUUAGAAAAGCAAAGUAAGAAACCCAAAGGUAAGUUAAAGGUAUACUUUUUUGGAAAAUGCAUGUUGUUGAAACUUAAGAUUGUAUAUCUUAACAAGUUAUUAUGAUUAAUAUGAUUAUGAUGACUACUAUUAUUUUGACAUUCAACACUGUUUUGGGUCAGGAAAGUGGCCACUCUGUAGCUCAUUCUUGCUGCUAGUGCCUUUGAUCUGGCUUGGGCCGUGUACACAAAGAUGGCCAUUUGCUGGCCUAUUAAAGAAUCUGCUCGUCAGGUACUCUGUAAUUUUUUGUCCCAGAGCUUUCCCCACAAAAACCCACUCUUUAGCACUCGACCAGAGCAAACGUCAGUCUGGGUUUUCUGCAGAUUGAUGUUUGCUCCAGUUGAGCUUUAAAGAGUGGGUUUUCACAGGGAAAGCUUCAGAGCAAAAAAAGUACACUUGGACACAUGAGCUUUAAAUCAUGGACAAUGCCUGUAAAGAGUGGAGGAAAGCUAAGUGUAAAUAAGCUAAGUGUGUAUAAGCUCAUAGUCUUGGAAAAGUAGACAUUUGAACCUUGCUGAAAAUGGACUUCUUACAUACCUAUCUACCUACCUACCUCCUCAAAUGGUGUCCUUAAGUGAUUGCAAUAUUGUAGUUUGGGCACAGUACUACACUAUGACCUUUCAUGUGUACGAAGCAGAGUGCACAGUUUUAGCUAAAGAUGAUACUGGGUGACAAUAAGUCUCUUGAAUUCCUGCAUGAUUUUGCUCCACUGAUAUAGCGAAUAAUUAGACUGUUCAAAAUUUGCCAGGUUAAAAGGUAAUGAUAACACAAGCCAAUGGUAUUUCAAAGGUAGUGUUGACUGUUUCCAGACGUUUGACACUUCAGUCUUGGCCACCAUAAAAAACAGUAGUGCAAACUCAGUGUGGGCUACACGAAGCAGUCGUAUACUGAACUUAUUUCACCCAAGAGUGAAUAUUUGGAUACAUCUGCUUCAGUUUGACCUUUGUUGUCCAGUACUAAAUCCCAGAAUGCUUAUAAUUCAGGACAAUUUGAAGAAGUAGAAUUCUGAGGGUGUUCCAGGCAGGUCUACAGAGUUUACUUUCCAUUAUAUUCUUGGCUGCUAUGCUUCUGCUGGUAAAUGACUGAUUACUGAAAUUAGUUGUAACACCUACAUGUACAAUUAAUAUUACCAAGUGUGCAGAGUGUUUAAAUGCUACUUAAUAUUACCUGUGUCCAAGUUAAUAUAUAGACACAUCAUAAUAGAAUGGAAAGUAUUUUAGAAAACUGAGCAGUCAUUUCCAGAAAUUAAAAAUAAAGUUUGCAUCACAUUGUUAUGAGCCAGUUACUUUGUCUUCUAAAGUGUUCUUCAGAAGAGCCCAGAUGAGGUCAUGAGUCAUUCAAGGCUCAAACAUCCAAAUGUCUUGUGGCUGUUCCAAAAUUCUUUCAUCAGCAUCCCACAUGACAUUAAGAGACAGUUAUAGUAUUUUGUUUUGCUUCCAAGUUUGUAUCCAUUUGUUGGGAAAGCCUGGAAAAAAACCUGUUUUUCAGAUUGUUGGAAAGCUAUCGGCUGUUUUGCAUAAAUCAGUUCUCUGUUCUUCUUUCCAAAGUGAGCAGCUUUACGUGGCGUAGAGUAUAGCUGGAUUAUUCAUGGCUUUCAGAUGGUUCUUCUGUGCCUGUUAGUCAUCCUUCUAAGAGGAAAAUUGGCCAUGCUAUGAUGGAAGUGUCACAAGGCUGGCAGCUCAGCGAUGGACAAAAGAUGCAUCCUCUUAGCAAUGAUACCACAUUCCUGCUGUUAUUCCAUCCAAAGCCAUCUGUCAUGGCAUUGCACUCUGCUUCUUCUCCCAAGCUUUGAAUCAUGUAGUUGGAAGAGACCUUGGAGGUCAUGCAGUCCUGCCCCCACUCAGUGCAGGAUCUGCAACGCAGAAUACAACCACAGUAGCCAAGGAGGUAAAUACUGCUCAAUGGGGAUCAGCACAGUUUUUCUUUUACCUUUGAGAACCUGGAAUGCUGCACUAAAAAACCUUAACAGUGCAAUUCUAUGCAAGUCUAUAAGCAGUGCUCCCCCCCCUAAAAAAAUGUUUAGAGGUACUCUCAUUAUCCUACUCAUAGUGAAAUACUGCCCCUCAAUGAGGUUAAACUUACCGUAUUUUUCGUCCCAUAGGAUGCACCGGCCCAUAGGACGCACCUAGUUUUUUGGGGGGAAAAUAAAGGAAUUUCCCCCCCUUUAUUUCCCCCCCAAAACCAGGUUGGGGAAUCCAAACCAGGUCGGGGAACAGCGGGAUGGCGGUGCUGCGCCUCCUCGCUGUCCCCCGAGCUUGUGGGGCUGCGGAUGUCUGCCCGAAGCGCGGGGCGCUCUGCUUCAGCGUGCCCCGUGCUCCGUGCAGCAGGCUGCUAUCCGCAGCCUAGGGAGUCCUGCGGGAACUCCCGCGGGCUCCCCAGGCUUGCUGAUAGCUUCCUGAAGCCUGGAGAGCGAGAGGGGUCGGUGCGCACCGACCCCUCUUGCUCUCCAAGCUUCAGUGAAAGCCUGCAUUCACCCCAUAGGACGCACACAGAUUUCCCCUUCAUUUUUGGAGGGGAAAAAGUGCGUCCUAUAGGUUGAAAAAUACGGUAGAUUCACAAAAUGUUUAGGGGUAUAUGUAUCCCUGCAUCCCCCCCCAGAAAAAAGCACUGUCUUAUAAGUUCAGUGUGAUUAUUUCCACAUAAUAUUGGAUUGCAGGCUAAACGUGGCAACCAGCUUGUGCAAACAUAUCAUAAUCUUUUAAUAAUGUAUGCAAAAUAGGAAACGAUGCAAUGAAGUCCUUAAUUUUCUGGAUCCAUUUCAGUCAAGGCUUUGGGAUGGUUUUGAUCUAGAGUGGUUGCCUGUGUUUGGCUGGGUGGUAAUGUUUUGCAGCAGUGCCCUUUCUACUUGCAUGGCCGAAUCCAGAAGGUGGUGCUGGGAAAGUAUUGUUUGGCUCCUUGCAAGCCCUAGGGCCUGAUGUUAUCUUUCAUGCUGUUUAACAUCUACAUGAAACUGUUGUGUGAUGUCAUCUAGAGUACACUACGCUGAUGACAUACAACUCUCUUUCUCCUUUUUGGGUGUGGUAGGAUAUCUGGCUGUGGUAAUGGACUGAACAAGGGCCAGUAAACUGAAACUCAUUCUAGACAUGACAAAGAUACUGGCAGUAGAUGGUUCUCCUGUCUGGGUAAACAGAGUUUCACCUGCUCCCCCAAAGAAUCCCAGGAACUGUAGCUUGCCCUUCACAGAGCUACCAUUCCCAGCACUUGUAACAAACUACAGUUCCCAGGAUUCUUUGGGUGAAACCAUGUCCUUUAAAGGUAUGGUGUGUAUGCUGCGAAGUUUUCACUGAGGCAUCGCAUAGCAAGUCAGCAUUGCCUUGAUAUGUGCUUACUGCUUGGCUGGAGAGUUUAUAGGGAACUUCUAGGUGGAAUAAUUUGUGCUCUUAAUAGGUUAAAACAUAUGAAGGCAUGGAAGCUAUUCAGAUUCUAGGUUUUACAAGUCAGACAACGUUGCUCUGAAUAUGGGCUGGAGAUGUAGUUUAAACUGUCUUUUCUUCAGGGUCCUCCCCCCCUCCAAAAAAAACUUGAGAAACUGGAAAUCUCCAGCCAUGACCUUUUUUUACACUGGAACAUUUUAAUGAAGAAUAUUCCACAUGCAUAUCUUUUGUUUGCCUUUUAAAUGGCAAAUUUGUCACUUGAUAAGUGGGUGGGUUGCAUAUUCAUACAUUUUGGUGUACGAAGCCAAUCGUGUUCACUGUCCUUGAAGUACAAAGGUUCACUCCAGGUGGCAGCCCUACAUUUUGUGGGCCUGUAGACCCAAUGUUAAAAUGCUUGGUUUCCACCCACUCUUUAGUAUGUUGGACUGUAUCUUGUCAUCUUCCUAGAAUCUUCCGGUAAAUUAGCUGGAGGACAUUUGAUGAACAUGCUCCAGUACUAAGGAUGUCAUAUGUUCCUUCGAGUUCUCCCUAGACAGUUUAAGCUUCUUUGAGAUGCAAAAUAGUGGAGGGAAAGUCAUGUUUCCCACAAAAAAACACACCCCACAAUUAAAAGUUCCAUGAACUUGGAGUGGUAAAGAGUCACAUGUAAUCCUUUACAACAGCAACAACAAAAUCAAGCUGUUUAUAGUUCUCAUUAACUGCAGAGGUUUGGGGAGGAAAUGAUGAAAUAAGAACUAAGGGCUGGAAAGUAUUGUGACACAGAAAAUGAACACCAGGCUAGGUCCAUCUAAAGCCAGUCAAAACCCUAUCCCCAGUCAAAGAAAAUACCUCAAACAAACAAAAAGCCCUCCAAAACAAAAGGAAAAGGAAAAUAAAAACUUGCCUGCUGGAUGAAUAAUCUGUCUAUGAAUCAGAGAAGAAGUGGAAACAUUGUCUCCUUCAGUGCAUGAUUUGGAGCAGAAUUAUAAUAUAUGUAUAUCACUGCUGCAAUUGAGUUUUAGGCUGUGUACACAUUCUUGGCUUAAAAUGCAGCAAGGGUGUUCUUUUCCUCAGUUUGGUUUGAAGCUUCCAGUGGCUUUGUGAAGAUCUGUAGGGGAUUGCCCCAGGCAGAAUGGUUUCUACUGGAACUGCCUCUUUAAGGAGGCCCCCAAUCCAUCCCUACAGGAGCCAGGCUGCUGGAACUCAGCUGGCCCAGGCACAAGAACAACAAGUGCACUAUCAUGACUUUUGGAGAUCAUGACCUUAUUUCGCCAAGAUGGAAAGAGAGGGGCAGAUGGGGAUAGGUGAAGCUGACCAUUUCAGUUCCUCAUUUUUCAAACGUUAAGCUGAGCUCUCCACAUCUACACAUCAGUUAGCGAUUACCCCCUGCAAAAUUCUCAUGAAAAUCCAUCAAUAUUUUUGUGUGACAUUCAUCCUAGAUCAGGGGUAGGCAACCUAAGGCCCAUGGGCGGGAUGCGGCCCAAUCGCCUUCUCAAUCCGGCCCGCGUAUAGUCUGGGAAUCAGCGUGUUUUUAUAUGAGUAGAAUGUGUCCUUUUAUUUAAAAUGCAUCUCUGGGUUAUUUGUGGGGCCUGCCUGGUGUUUUUACAUGAGUAGAAUGUGUGCUUUUAUUGAAAUUGCAUCUCUGGGUUAUUUGUGGGGCAUAGGAAUUUGUUCAUUCCCCUCCCCCCCCCACAAAAAUAUAGUCCGGCCCACCACAUGGUCUGAGGGACGGUGGACUGGCCCACGGCUGAAAAAGGUUGCUCACCCAUGUCCUAGAUGCACAUUUUUGUAUGCAAUAUCCCCUAAGCUAGAGAUUCCCCCCUAAUAUAAUGAAUGAUUGCAUGUUAUAUUCACUAGUAUGACCAUUUAUAUGUCCAUCUUACAUUACAAGUGCAAGUCUGUAAUGUAAAGGUAAAAGGUAUAGGACCCCCUGGACGGUUAAGUCCAGUCAAAGGCGACUCUGGGGUUGCGACACUCAUCUCGCCUCAGGCCGAGGGAGUUGGUGUUUGUCCACAGACAGCUUUCUGGGUCAUGAGCCAGCAUGACUAAACCACUUCUGGCGCAACGGAACACUGUGACAGAAGCCAGAGCGCAUGAAAACACUGUUUACCUUCCCGCCGCAGUGGUACCUAUUUAUCUACUUGCACUGUCAUGCUUUCAAACUGCUAGGUUGGCAGAAGCUGGGACAGAGCAAUGGGAGCUCACCCUGUUGUGCAGAUUCGAACAGCCAACCUUCCAAUCAGCAAACCCAAGAGGUUUAGACCACUGAAUAACUGCAUAGCAAAAUUCAGGGAAGUGCAAAUUUUGAAGGAUGUAUGGGUUUCAGUUCACAUACAGCUCACUCCCCCAAAUACAGCUCACUGUGCAAAUGAGCCUAUGUGUUCCUUUUAAUGACUAACACUGGCAUUUUUAAAAUGGUGCACAAUGAUGCUAAAAUGCACGAUACUAAAAAAAUUAUUCCCAAGGUAACAAUAUUUAUUUAUUUUAGGAUACGUCUAGAUGUGUGCUUAAUAUUGCAGGUUAUUCAGAUGUCACAAAUGGGUGGUUGGAAGCAGAUUUAUUUUUUAAACUGCUCUAUUCCCUUCAGAAAGGGUAGAUCCAGGUUAAAAGAUGGUAGUGGUGAGGCAUAUGUGCUUGUAUUUUGAUGCCAACCAUGUUGUGCGGACACUGCACAAAACUUGAAUAUUCUAGGAUUGGUGUGUCCCAUGCAAACACCCUUCCAGAAAACCCUUACUCAUUAUUCUCCUACAUUUCAGGGCCAAACUCUGGUAACAAGGCAUCUUACAAGAGAAAACAAAAUAAGUAAAUCACACCAUUUAUCUUUGUACAUUUAAUGUGCACUGAACAAAAUUUCCAGAAACUGGAUUUAGAAAACAAGGUUUUGCUUGAGGUUUUGUUUCACUGCAGUACAGUUAUGCUUGAGCUUGGCCAAUCUGAGAAGCAAGUGAAAAAACUGCUGGUAAAAAUGAAACACUGUUGUAAAGUGUUGUUAAAACUGCUGCUAAGUCUCUUUUCCAUUUCUGUUUUCUCUUCCCUCAAUUUUACUUUUGUUUUUAAUUGUAUUUUAUUUUGAUGCUAUCUUAAGAUUCUCAAACACUCUGAAGAAGAGCCACAGGUGGAAAGGAAGUGUGUGUGUGUGUGUGUGGUGUGUGUAAUGCUUAAAAGAGCUAACAAAAAUAACACAUUUUUGACAGUCACACACCAUAACUCACAGCAUCAGCAUUGGUUCUAACAUUUAUGGUUUUAUUUUCCAACAAGCCUGUCAAACAGGUUGAAAGCCUAUAAUACUAUCGCUAACACGCGGCUGAUAAAAAACAGUUAUAAAACCACUUCUUACUACUAACCCACAAAUAAAAAUAUCAAAAGCUAUGCAUGCGUACCAAAAAUAUAAAUACAAAUUAUGUGUGACAAAUGGUGUUGCUUGCUUAAAACCAACGUCUCGCUGGUUUUGGGUUUGUUUCAUUUUCAUUCUUGUUUCUUUUUUUAGAUAAUCAUCAGUUUUUAAUUGUUUGGGCAAUUGGUGAUAUUAAACAACUUAGCAAACUCAAGCCUCUAGAGAUUCCUAUUAGAAAAUUAUACUUAUUUACCAAAAUUAAUUUUGUCUCUAUCUGUAUAGGGUUUAACAUCAUCCUGUGGUUGAGAUGGCUCACAGCAAUGCUAAGAACAUCAUGAAAAGCAGUAAAAAGAACAUUUCAACAACAACAAACAAGAAAGCAUUUCAAAUCACCUGACCUCAACUCUUAAAUGGAGCUCCUUCCUGCUUCUUUCUAAAGGCCAUCAGCGAUGUCUUCCAGAAAAUCUCCCCUGGGAGGCCAUGCUACAGACUCAGGGCCACUAGCAAAAAAGCCCUGCUACUUCUUGAGGUCAACUUGACUUCUCACAUUAAUGGCGUACAGAGAAGGGCACUCAGUGUAGAUCUCAAUUUGGUUGAAAAAGAUUUAUGGGAAAAGGCAGUCCUGUGGAUAUGUAGGGCAAAGGAAAUGAAGAGCUUUUAAGGCUAAUGCCAGCACCUUGAAUAUUCCUCAGAAAGCUAACUGGAUGUGUGUACCUCUGGUUAAGAACAUAAUUCAUUCCGGAGGUCCGUUCUUAACCUGAAACUGUUCUUAACCUGAGGUACCACUUUAGCUAAUGGGGCCUCCUGCUGCCGCGCGAUUUCUGUUCUCAUCCUGAGGUAAAGUUCUUAACCCGAGGUACUACUUCUGGGUUAGCGGAGUCUGUAACCUGAAGCAUUUGUAACCCGAAGCAUUUGUAACCCGAGGUACCACUGUAUAGUGACUGAAAAAUCGGUUGGUUCUCAUCUCCCUACAGCUCUUUUCAGGCCCUCAGUGUGGCGAGGGUAUGCCUGGUGCAUUCAGCAGUGAUGGAGGCUGGCUGGUAUGCGUGUGUCUACCUGCUCCCCCUCACCAGUUUAAGCCCUUGCGUAUUCUUUGGAACCAUGACACACUUCCUCAUCUAUAACAUAGAAUCAUAGAAUUAUACAAUUGGAAGGGAGCACAAGGGUCAUCUAGUCCAACCCCCUGCAGUGCUGGAAGAAGAAGAGUUUGGAUUUGAUAUCCCGCUUUAUCACUACCCUAAGGAGUCUCAAAGCGGCUAACAUUCUCCUUUCCCUUCCUCCCCCACAACAAACACUCUGUGAGGUGAGUGGGGCUAAGAGACUUCAAAGAAGUGUGACUAGCCCAAGGUCACCCAGCAGCUGCAUGUGGAGGAGCGGAGACGCGAACCCGGUUCCCCAGAUUACAAGUCUAUCGCUCUUAACCACUACACCACACUGGCUCUGGAAUCUUUUGCCUAAUGUGGGACUUGAACCCAUGAACCUGAGAUGAAGAGUUUCAUGCUCUACUGAGCUAUCCCUGCU
rnacentral:lncRNA from 1 species